UACGUAGGUGGCAAGCGUUGUCCGGAAUCACUGGGCGUAAAGGGCGCGUAGGCGGUUUCACAAGUCGCAUGUGAAGGACCAGGGCUUAACUCUGGGGGGUCAUGCGAAACUGGAGGACUAGAGUGCAGGAGAGGAAAGUGGAAUUCCCAGUGUAGCGGUGAAAUGCGUAGAGAUUGGGAGGAACACCAGUGGCGAAGGCGGCUUUCUGGACUGUAACUGACGCUGAGGCAUGAAAGCGUGGGGAGCAAAC
rnacentral:rRNA from 1 species